rnacentral:lncRNA from 1 species
AAAUGAUUAACUACUAGGUCGAACAAAAUGACCUCGAGUAGAACCCAUCUGACUUUUCAACCGAAAGUUGAAACACAUGGGUUUUCAACCCAAAAGACGUCUACUGAGAUUUGGAUCAUGUGGACUGGCCAGGUCCAACAUCAUCACCUCCCAGUCACACGGGAAACAUCGUCCCGAACUUGAAGAGCCAUGAACAUACUAUACAUAACAAAGCAUAAGUUCAUCAUGACAACUAAACUUAUCUUAAGGUUCCUUAUCCUAUUGAUCUCAAACCCCAAACCUCUCUUAAGACAUAUACACACAGACAUACGUACACAGGCAAAACACACUAUUCUUAAAAUCUAUCGUGUAGCAAAAGUCGAUUCGAUGUUCCGUCGCACUUGAACAUUUGAACGUAGAGACUAUGGUUCAACCUUUGAUGCAACGUUUACCUUGAAUUCGUC